GAUGAACGCUGGCGGCGUGCCUAAUACAUGCAAGUCGAGCGAACGGACGAGAAGCUUGCUUCUCUGAUGUUAGCGGCGGACGGGUGAGUAACACGUGGAUAACCUACCUAUAAGACUGGGAUAACUUCGGGAAACCGGAGCUAAUACCGGAUAAUAUUUUGAACCGCAUGGUUCAAAAGUGAAAGACGGUCUUGCUGUCACUUAUAGAUGGAUCCGCGCUGCAUUAGCUAGUUGGUAAGGUAACGGCUUACCAAGGCAACGAUGCAUAGCCGACCUGAGAGGGUGAUCGGCCACACUGGAACUGAGACACGGUACAGACUCCUACGGAAGGCAGCAGUAGGGAAUCUUCCGCAAUGGGCGAAAGCCUGACGGAGCAAUGCCGCGUGAGUGAUGAAGGUCUUCGGAUCGUAAAACUCUGUUAUUAGGGAAGAACAUAUGUGUAAGUAACUGUGCACAUCUUGACGGUACCUAAUCAGAAAGCCACGGCUAACUACGUG
rnacentral:rRNA from 1 species